AAGAAUGUAAAUGUAUCAAAAGUUAUUGGAUGCAACAGAAAAUGAUUUAGACUUCAAAUAAUAACUGGGCGUUAGGACGGAACAAUUUCACCUAAUGGUCACCUUUAUUUCGUAAAUCAAGAUUCAUACAACCUAAAGUAAUGUUCAGUCGAAUUCUUCUAUGGUAUUCAACUUACCCCUCUCGAGUUCUCGUUGAGCUUAUUUAAUUAGUUCAAUUUCAUAUCUCUAUGCAAAUUAAAUUUAAUUAAACGCAACAUUGGUUCUAAGAAUUUAUACAUGACCGCAGCAAUCAAUAUAGGUAUCUCUACAUGUUAUAUCGAUUUACCGGAUUUUAACAUGUAGUCUAAACAAAUAAUCCGUAUCUCUACGUAAUUAUUGUUCACAAAUCAUCUAAUUAGUGAUCAAGUAAUUGAAUGCAUUAAGCACAACAUUAAAAUCAACACAUAUAAAAUUAAAGCACUAGAAUCUUAAUUUAACGAAAUAAAGGGUUCCAAUUAAGUUACGUUGCUCGCCCUAAAUUAAAUCUAGCUACGCAUAUUAACGAAAGAAAAACAAGAUAAAUUCAUGGAAGACAUCACCCGGAUUGAUUGAUGAAACGUGAAUAAUUUUCAAAAGUCUGUCUGCCGUUUACGUGUCUGUUUCCUUUCAAUUUUGUCCAGCCGUCCACUUUAUCUUCCUCCAGAUUUUGUAAUUGGCCUGCUACAAUUCCUUCCCAAGUUUAUCGACUGCAUAAGUCUAUAUAUUAAUCCCAGCAACACCUCAAUUUGUAAAUUCAGCAGCUUAAUUCUUGCCUCCAAAUCUGCUUUUGGCUUCCUAUGGGCGUGUAUAUAUAUUUAUAUCUCAACCAGCAACCUCAAAAUAUGUGUUUAAAUAUCAAUAUCAAUAUUAAUGCAGCAAUCGGCAGCCCUCAGUUUCCGUUUGAAUAUAUAAAUUAAUAGCAGCCGGCAACGUCUUCUCCUUCCUCCAGUCGGCUGCUCUCUCACGUUCCCUUGAGAUUGUCGGCUGAAAAUUGAAGAAGUAAACCUGCAGCCUAAUGUUUCUCCCC
rnacentral:lncRNA from 1 species